rfam:Camelus ferus unplaced genomic scaffold scaffold595, whole genome shotgun sequence.
CCAAAGGCUCUUUUCAGAGCCACUCACGCAUUCACAUAAAGAGCU